rnacentral:sRNA from 1 species
UUAAAUAGCUCCAGGAGCCGGUCCCCUA